CUAGUUACUGAUAGCUGUGGUUUUAGCAGUCUCAGUUGACCUUUUAAAACUUUUCAUUGGCAAUUCCAAGAAAAUGAUGCUGAUUGGUGUAUUAAUUACAAUGUCUUACUUCGUUCACUUUGCAGCUAGCAGUAGGCCAGAGCUCUCAGUUGUGCAAUACCCUGAAGAUGCCAGUGUGCUCAUUAACUCCACAACCUGGAUGCUGUGUGUCUUUGAAUACCCCAAUGACGAGAAUGAGGAGCCAGUUGUGUACUGGAGGAAGGGCCCCAGCUGCAACAACCAGCAGAGUCUUCGGUCAAGCUCAGGCACCGACAGACCACAUACACACAUUACAAAGGAUGUGUUCAGGGGAUACUCCAUCUUAAAACUGAGCAAUGUUGACCAAAAUGCCAGCAACUUUUAUUUCUGUGAUGUGACGCUAACCCAGAAAACCCAGGGCAAAUGUGGAAAUGGCACCAAGCUGACAGUACAAGAUUUCAAAUGUAAAGACUGUACAAGAUCAGAAACGACCGGGUGGUGGUGGUGGUUCCUUCUUGGAUACACCAUCUUUGUCACCACAGUUAUCAUGGCUUUUGGUAUUUACCAGUGCUGUAAAAAGUGCAAGAAUGAGUCAAGAAAUAGAGAUAGCAGCGCUACCCUGAAAAGUGAAUGGACUUAUGACAAGCCAUCCAGAGCAGUUAAUAAUGGGUUUAACCAAGAAUAUGAAGAUAUGUCACUAGUAAGAACUUUAGUCACAUUGAAAGGAAAAUGA
rnacentral:lncRNA from 1 species